rnacentral:rRNA from 1 species
GACGAACGCUGGCGGCGUGCCUAAUACAUGCAAGUCGACCUUAGUGGCGACCGGGUGAGUCAAACGUGGGUAACCUGCCCAUCAGAAGGGGAUAACACUUGGAAACAGGUGCUAAUACCGUAUACUGAUGGCUGGACCCGCGGUGCAUUAGCCAGUUGGUUAGGUCACGGCUCACCAAGGCCACGAUGCAUAACCGACCUGUGAGGGUGAUCGGCCACAUUGGGACUGAGACACGGCCCAAACUCAGACGGGAGGCAGCAGUAGGGAAUCGUCGGCAAUGGACGAUAGUCUGACCUAGCAAUGCCGCGUGAGUGAAGAAGGUUUUCGGAUCGUAAAACUCUGUUGUUAGAGAAGCGGUAUCUAACCAGAAAGCCACGGCUAACUACGUGCCAGCAGCCGCGGUAAUAC